UGCACAGAGGGGCCAGCACACGCUGUGUUCCCUCUCCAGCUAUAACUCUCGCGAGAGUUAUAGCUGGAGAGGGAACACAGCGUGUGAUGGCUCCUCUGUGCAG